rnacentral:rRNA from 1 species
UACGAGGGGGGCAAGCGUUGUUCGGAAUUAUUGGGCGUAAAGGGCGCGUAGGCGGUGCGGUAAGUCUGAUGUGAAAUCUCCGGGCUCAACUCGGAGUCUGCAUCAGAAACUGCCGUGCUCGAGUGUGGGAGAGGUGAGUGGAAUUCCUGGUGUAGCGGUGAAAUGCGCAGAUAUCAGGAGGAACACCAAUUGCGAAGGCAGCUCGCUGGAACGUUACUGACGCUGAGACGCGAAAGCGUGGGGAGCAAACAGG